GACGAACGCUGGCGGCGUGCCUAAUACAUGCAAGUCGAACGCUGAAGGAGGAGCUUGCUUCUCUGGAUGAGUUGCGAACGGGUGAGUAACGCGUAGGUAACCUGCCUGGUAGCGGGGGAUAACUAUUGGAAACGAUAGCUAAUACCGCAUAAUAUUGACUAUUGCAUGAUAGUCAGUUGAAAGGUGCAACUGCACCACUACCAGAUGGACCUGCGUUGUAUUAGCUAGUUGGUGGGGUAACGGCUCACCAAGGCGACGAUACAUAGCCGACCUGAGAGGGUGAUCGGCCACACUGGGACUGAGACACGGCCCAGACUCCUACGGGAGGCAGCAGUAGGGAAUCUUCGGCAAUGGACGGAAGUCUGACCGAGCAACGCCGCGUGAGUGAAGAAGGUUUUCGGAUCGUAAAGCUCUGUUGUAAGAGAAGAACGAGUGUGAGAGUGGAAAGCUCACACUGUGACGGUAGCUUACCAGAAAGGGACGGCUAACUACGUG
rnacentral:rRNA from 1 species